CCUUCGAUAGCUCAGUUGGAAGAGCGUGAGACUGUAAUUGGUUACGCAUAGGCAUCUCAAGGUCGCUGGUUCGAACCCGGCUCGAAGGA